rnacentral:tRNA from 28 species
GGAGAGGUGGCAGAGUGGUCGAAUGUACCUGACUCGAAAUCAGGCGUACGUGCAAACGUACCGUGGGUUCGAAUCCCACCCUCUCCGCCA